GCGGGAGUGGCGGAAUAGGCAGACGCGCAAGACUUAGGAUCUUGUGUCUUCGGACGUGGGGGUUCAAGUCCCCCCUCCCGCA
rnacentral:tRNA from 1 species